rnacentral:rRNA from 1 species
AGUGUAGGCGGCUAUUUAAGUCGGAUGUGAAAUCCCCGGGCUCAACCUGGGAAUUGCAUUCGAUACUGAAUAGCUAGAGUUUGGUAGAGGUAAGUGGAAUUCCGGGUGUAGCGGUGAAAUGCGUAGAUAUCCGGAGGAACAUCAGUGGCGAAGGCGGCUUACUGGACCAAAACUGACGCUGAGGCUCGAAAGCGUGGGGAGCAAACAGGAUUAGAUACCCUGGUAGUC